UGGGGAAUAUUGGACAAUGGGCGAAAGCCUGAUCCAGCCAUGCCGCGUGUGUGAAGAAGGUCUUCGGAUUGUAAAGCACUUUAAGUUGGGAGGAAGGGCAGUAAAUUAAUACUUUGCUGUUUUGACGUUACCGACAGAAUAAGCACCGGCUAACUCUGUGCCAGCAGCCGCGGUAAUACAGAGGGUGCAAGCGUUAAUCGGAAUUACUGGGCGUAAAGCGCGCGUAGGUGGUUCGUUAAGUUGGAUGUGAAAUCCCCGGGCUCAACCUGGGAACUGCAUUCAAAACUGACGAGCUAGAGUAUGGUAGAGGGUGGUGGAAUUUCCUGUGUAGCGGUGAAAUGCGUAGAUAUAGGAAGGAACACCAGUGGCGAAGGCGACCACCUGGACUGACACUGACACUGAGGUGCGAAAGCGUGGGGAGCAAAACAGGAUUAGAUACCCUGGUAGUCCACGCCGUAAACGAUGUCAACUAGCUGUUGGGAGCCUUGAGCUCUUAGUGGCGCAGCUAACGCAUUAAGUUGACCGCCUGGGGAGUACGGCCGCAAGG
rnacentral:rRNA from 1 species